UGUGUGUGUAUAUAUGUGCGUGUGAAAAUAUAUAUGUAAAAUUAAUCGUUACUGCAUAUUUUUUUAUAUUUUAUUGUAUAUAUAUAGAAUAAAAUCUCCAUUAUAAGUUACAAAUAAUAUGAAUAGUGGAGAUAAUGUCUGAAUAAGUUAAAUGUCUGUUUUUGGAACGAGGACAAUCUUAAUAGAAAGUAUUUCAGUUUAAACUUCUUCAUCCAAAAGGAACCUAAUUUUUAUCAAUUUGAAUUCGUCACUUUCGAAAAAAUUCCAUUGGAAUCUUUCGUAAAAUUUCAUAUUAUCACGACAAUAUUAGACAAAAGUUAUUUAGAAUAAGAUAUAAUAAAAUAUGAUAUAAAAUAAAUAACAAUUGAAGAAAUAUUUAAUUUUUGACGAAUUAACAAAUGAAUGAGUAAAUGAACAAGAGAUUAAUAGUAAAUGAAUAAGAAUCGGGCAAUGAUUAAAAUAAAUAAUAAAUAACAUAUGAUUUUUACGAAAAUUUAUUCAUGUAGUGUACAGCAAUGUUUUCGAUUCGAGAAAAUGGAUUUAUAAAAAGAUCUUUAUAUGAUUAAAUAAAUGAUUUUUCCCUCAAAGUCCAUGAUCCUUAUUAGUUUUAUCGAUUGCUAUAUCUCAAUUUGAGGGGUAUAGAUGGAAGCAAGUAAUUUGCAUGAUGAAAUUGAUAUGCUCAUUGAAGAUACGAAUCCCAUGGUUCCGGUGAUCCACAUAAUCAUCGAUUGUUUGAAUUUCCUCAUGGCAUGUAAUUUAUAAUGUAUGUAUAUUAUAAAUACUAUAAGAUAAGAUACGAAUAAGAUACGUAUAUGGAUUUUCCCAAGAAUGGAUCAUUUAGAAGAAGCUUUACUAUUGGAAUUGAAUUUAUUUUUUUUUUCAAUAUUGUCGAAUCAUUUUUUCGAGAAAUAAAUCCUUAAAAUGUGCAAUCAUAUUACCGUAAAUUUUACUAUAUGUCAAUUGAACAAAUAAGAUAUCAUCAUUCAAUAAAAGAUAUAAGUAUCUAUGAAUGAAUAAUUUUCUUGGAAUCUAUUUCUGGAAUUUUAGUUGAUAGUAUACAUUAAUAAUGAUAUAUUAAAAAUGAAAAGAUUAAUCAGUUGACUUUUACUGCAU